CGGACGGGUGAGUAAUGUCUGGGAAACUGCCUGAUGGAGGGGGAUAACUACUGGAAACGGUAGCUAAUACCGCAUAACGUCGCAAGACAAAGAGGGGGACCUUAGGGCCUCUUGCCAUCGGAUGUGCCCAGAUGGGAUUAGCUAGUAGGUGGGGUAACGGCUCACCUAGGCGACGAUCCCUAGCUGGUCUGAGAGGAUGACCAGCCACACUGGAACUGAGACACGGUCCAG
rnacentral:rRNA from 1 species